rnacentral:lncRNA from 13 species
GGACAACCCAGGAUAUCCCUGGGGCUGAGCUCUCUGCCAUCCAGCCCUAUUUAUCAGAGGGUAGUGAGGACAACCCAGGAUAUCCCUGGGGCUGAGCUCUCUGCCAUCCAGCCCUAUUUAUCAGAGGGUACAGACAAACUGAACAAGUUCCACAGACAUGUGACUAACAAAUGGAAUGUGUCCCUGAACAAAGGGGGGGUCAAAAGUAACAGUCAGCAUCUGGUGUGGCCACCAGCUGCAUUAAAAACUGCAGCGCAUCUCCUCAUCUUGAACUGCACCAGAUUUACCAGUUCUUGCUGUGAGAUGUUACCCCACUCUUCCACCCACUCUUCUACCAAGGCACCUGCAAGUUCCCAGACAUUUCUGGGGGGGGGGGNNNNNNNNNNCUCUCCCAGGAACUUCUCAGGCCGGGUGGACAGACCGCAGGCUCUCCCAGGAACUUCUCAGGCCGGGUGGACAGGUUGAGUUUGAAGGAGAAACCAAAACAGUCGUAGACUGUACGCAGGAAGUCCAGACAACCCUUAAUCUCCUCCUCAAUCUGGAGGUUGAGGAAAAGACAACACCACACAAUUUUCCUUCAGCUUUAGUCAAGGCUUCAUGGUGUCUAAAAUAGUGUGACAGCUGAAAUGGUCCACUGGAAGAUUAUCCCAGGAGGUGAACUAACUGACCCAUGCCGUGUGGCGCUACAUGGAGAAGAGGAGUGUGCCUGACCCGCAGGAGGGUUAAGGUCAGUCUGACUGCUCCACAAGUGAUUGGGGGNNNNNNNNNNAUGGUAUUAACUGACCCUGUAUAUAGUAUGGUAUUAACUGACCCUGUAUAUAACUACUGACCCUGUAUAUAGUAUGGUAUUAACUGACCCUGUAUAUAGUAUGGUAUUAACUGACCCUGUAUAUAGUAUGGUAUUAUCUGACCCUGUAUAUAACUACUGACCCUGUAUAUAGUAUGGUAUUAACUGACCCUGUAUAUAGUAUGGUAUUAACUGACCCUGUAUAUAGUAUGGUAUUAACUGACCCUGUAUAUAGUAUGGUAUUAUCUGACCCUGUAUAUAACUACUGACCCUGUAUAUAGUAUGGUAUUAUCUGACCCUGUAUAUAGUAUGGUAUUAACUGACCCUGUAUAUAACUACUGACCCUGUAUAUAGUGACAUUGAAACUUAGACUUUAUAAAGGGUUUAUUAUCGUUACCUUCUCAGCCUGAUCCCAGACCGCAG